rnacentral:rRNA from 1 species
CCCGUAGAUGUUCUGGGCCGCACGCGCGCUACACUGACGAAUGCAACGAGCUUAUAACCUUGGCCGAAAGGUCUGGGUAAUCUCCAAAUUUCGUCGUGAUGGGGAUAGAUUAUUGCAAUUAUUAAUCUUCAACGAGGAAUGCCUAGUAAGCGCAAGUCAUCAGCUUGCGUUGAUUACGUCCCUGCCCUUUGUACACACCGCCCGUCGCUCCUACCGAUUGAAUGGUCCGGUGAAGCGUUCGGACCGUGGCCUUUGGACGGUUCGCCGUCUGUUGGCUGCGGGAAGUUCGUUAAACCUUAUCAUUUAGAGGAAGGAGAAGUCGUAACA